AUCCCAGCUUGCUGGGGGAUUAGUGGCGAACGGGUGAGUAACACGUGAGUAACCUGCCCUUAACUCUGGGAUAAGCCUGGGAAACUGGGUCUAAUACCGGAUAUGACUCCUCAUCGCAUGGUGGGGGGUGGAAAGCUUUAUUGUGGUUUUGGAUGGACUCGCGGCCUAUCAGCUUGUUGGUGAGGUAAUGGCUCACCAAGGCGACGACGGGUAGCCGGCCUGAGAGGGUGACCGGCCACACUGGGACUGAGACACGGCCCAGACUCCUACGGGAGGCAGCAGUGGGGAAUAUUGCACAAUGGGCGAAAGCCUGAUGCAGCGACGCCGCGUGAGGGAUGACGGCCUUCGGG
rnacentral:rRNA from 1 species